rnacentral:lncRNA from 1 species
CAAAUCAUCGUCAAAUAAUUGUCGAACAUGUCUGUAGUCUCAUAUUCACAGUUUAUAUAAUGUCAAAGCAUAUAAAAUUCAUUUAUAAUGAAACUUAUAACAUACGAACUUACCUUAGAUGUAAAAAUGACGGAAUAGGUCGAUUAGUCAAUAACUUUGUUUUUUCCCCCAUCUAAGUUCGAAUUUCGCUUUUCUUGAUCUAUAUGUAAUCAAAAUUAACUUAUUUAAUCAUCUUUAUUCAAUUUAUUCCAAAAUACACUUUAAAACACAUUUACACUUUUGCCCUUAUAAUUUCA